rnacentral:tRNA from 1 species
GUCAGUGUGGCAUAGUGGGUUGAGUGUUGGAUUACAACUCUGGAGACCAGGUUCGAUUCCUAGCUUGGCCA